AUGCACAUCAUUUUUCAUUUGAAAAAUGAAGCUUUUAUUUUAAAAGAUGAAAUAAAAUUUUAUAUUUGGAAGCAAAAGGAACUGGUGGCGGCAUUUCACUUUGCUGUUCUCUGCAGCAUCGCGACUGUCUGCUGCGUUUUCCAUAUGUGGGCGUCGACAGAGUGAAGAGAGUCUCUCGCUCAAAGAACCAAAGUUACAAUGUAACCAUUUGACUGUCAUCUUACUUUUACUAAAAUUGAAGCUUUGUUCUUCAGUUAGAUUUAGGCAAUGAAAACUAAAACACUGUCCAGUGUAGGCAGUAACAUGUUAGACUUGUAAUGCAGAGCUUAUGAUUUGGGAUGUUACCACAUUUGAUCCCCAUAGAAGAUUAUUGAAAACAUCCACAUGAGUGGAAGCAAAAGUACUUUCUAUUGAAAUCUAUCAGUCUGAAAGUUGUGCUGAGUGUAACAAAAGAAACCAACAUAUUUCUUUUUCAUGACUAUUCCACCUUUUCUCAGUGAAUUGGUCCACAGUGCAGAAUGCAAAGCUCUAAAGUUUCCACUGGUCUUUCUGUUGAUGUCAGAUGACUUGCAUGUUUCUCCUAAAAAAUGCAGUAAUGACGGCUGAGCUGGUGUAAAUCACAGGAUUUCUCACAGGAGUUUGGGAUCAUCGCUUAUGAUGAUCAUUUUUUGUCAGGUUUAGCAGUUUUGCGUGGACUUUUUUAAAACUUGAAUGUGUUUCCAGCUUUUUACUGUAAAACUGCUCCGUUUUUGCCGUGAGCUCGUCUUCAGCAGCAGCUAAUUCACAUUUCCUGCUCUGCUGAUUAUUUGGGGCAGCAUGAUGGCGCUGAGUGAAAAUAAAAUGCAUUGUGUGCGUUCACGGGAAUGUGCUGAUGAGUUUUAUUUUUGGACCUCAGUGGAGCUUUGUGAUACGAAGCAGAAACAGUUUAUCAGGCUUGUUAGUACAUCCUCAGAAAUGAUUGCACCUCAUUCUAGCUUUAGGGGCACAAUGGCAGUACUCUCAAAGGUUCUCAUUAAACUUUCCUUUUACAAAUGUUUAUUUUUCAGUCAUUUGGAAAUGCACUGACUUUUCUUUUAAGGACUUUAAGGCUUGCUAACCACUCACAGCUUUCCCCUUCUCACAUGUGCACCUCAGCCAGUUCCUUCUGGAGAGAACCCACCAGGAUGGAGGAGGAGUUUCAUUGACUUGAAAGAAAUGCUGAAACGUCAGUACUUUAUCUGACUUCUUUUGUGUUUGCUCAGUACGUUUUACUGGUUCAGACACCAAAAAACAAAUUUAGUCAACAAAUAGUACUGAUAAUAACAAGAUAUUACAAACUACCCAGUUAUCACUGGGCAUCAAAAACAACCUGGUUCUGGGGGUUUCUGUUCAAUCACCUCUCACCUACAUGCGACAGGCACAAGCAUUGCUUCAUUUCAAAGUCAUGCUGACUGUAAUGAAAAGUGUCAUCUACAAAAGUUUGGGACUGGGAAACAAAAAGCUGGAUAAGUAACAAUAUUACUGAUACUAAAGAAAAAACCUUUUUAGAACAACUGGAGGAACAUUUUGCAUCUUAUUAGGUCAGCUGGCAACAGUCCAGUAACAUGAUUGGGUAUGAAAAAGCAGUUUAGAGAGGCAGAGUUUCUCACGAGUAAAGAUUUGCAUUCGUUCACCAAUCUGCAAAAAGAAAAGGAAGAAAAAAACGUGUCUACGUUUGCAGAAUAAUUUUCCACAGUGUAAAAUUACUGGAAAAAGCUGAAACUCAAUAUUCAUGCCUGUGAUCUUCAGGCCCUCGGGCGGCACUGCUUUACAAACAGAUACGAUGCUUUCAAAGCGCUGCAGAAACCUCCAGAAAUCAGUGUGACCAGAGUUCACCGUCCAUCCACAGACGCAGGUUAAAGCUCUGUCAUAUGAUGAAAAGCUGUAUGUGAGCACCAUCAAGAAAUACUUCUCUGGUCCAAAGCUCAUUUAAAAUGCACUGAGGGGAAGAGGGUUGAAAUAUUCUGGAAAACAUGAAUGCCACAUCCACCCAGGAACCAUCUGGGACAUCUGGAAAGGUACCAUCAGUGCUGAAAGCAUGGCGUCAUAAAAGAAGAGUCCAAGUGUUGAACCGGCCUGGUGCAGUCCAGACUCUUCAUCUACUGAAACGUUCAUCAUGAAAAACAUGAUAAAGAUGAAUCAGCAUCUCAAAUCUUUGGAACUGAGGUUGUAAUAACGUCACAUCUGAAACUACACGGCGAAUCUUUGUGGUCUGUUUAUUUUGUGACCACAGAGUAAAGAUGUCAUCUGCAGUUGCUGAUCUAUGACAGUUGAAGUUAUGGCUGAAUGCAACAUUUUUCAUCAGCAGUGCUCCUCGUCCUCCCUGCCAGCUCCUGCACCGUCCUUAUGUCCUGUGUCUUCUGUGUUUUAGGGGCUUGAAUCCAGAAGAAAUAAUACAAAUAUGCACCUUUUUCGCUUUAGUAACAUGUAUGUUUGCAGUUCUCGAGGUCUUUGAAGUAAUUAUGACUAACAGGUACAUCUGUUAAGAUUAGACCUGCACACUUUGCUCCUGUGUCUGAGGGAUAUUCUUACACAUGAGUACAGUAAAAUAAAAACUACUUGAGUAAACUGUGGAAGGCACGUCCUGACUGUGUGCAGGAAGUCACAGUCCUGGUGUAGCUGACGCUGAAAUGUUUGUGUGGGUUGCCAUGACAACACCAAAGUGAAUCUGAGAUCGUUAUUGUUUUCUAUUUGUUUUCUUUAUUUGCUUCUCAUGCUUGUGUACAUUUGCAGUAGGAAAGGUAAUCUAUGAAUCCAGUGAUAUAUCCUGCUUAUAAGAAAUGUUUCUGUUAAAAUAUUAUUGUGAAGUAGUCACUUCCUGUGAGUUGCGGGAACCGGAAGUUGUGCGCGGGAGAGACAAGACAGAACGGUAACACGGCGGACUUUUCGGAAUAUACAACUUUUCUACUGCUGGUUUUACAAGGCGUACACGUUUUCACGGUGCUCCAUGAUUGUGAGAGGAAUAAAAGAAUUGUGGACAUCAGUACGAAGCGUGGAUUCUUUCGACCAGAGUAGAAACAGUGAAAACGUGUCCCAAUCCAUCUGGAGGCUUCGGUGUGCAAAGCUCUUCUCAUCCUGCAGCAAGCUACAGGUCUCGGUUUGCAAACGCGCUUCCCCUCCUGCAGCAAGCUACAGGCUUCGGUGUGCAAAGCUCUUCUCAUCCUGCAGCAAGCUACAGGUCUCGGUUGCUUCUCAUCCUGCAGCGAGCUACAGGCUUCAGUGGACACGUUGCUUUGCAUUUUGUGACAACCAAUCGGGAGCUGCAGAUUCAGCGGACACUCCAAGAAGCGGUUUCAGGCUAAAGCGUGAGUCCUCAGGCUAUAUUGCGCAGUUAUUAUGCCUCAUGAGUUGAUGGAUAGAACAUGAGCUACAAAUUUGCUGUAAUGGACAAGGAAUUAAUAGUGUUCAAAUUUCGGAUUGUGUAAAAACAAACAAACAAACAAACAAAAAAAAAAAAAGAAAAAAAAAAAGGACAAUCUGUUGAAGUUCUGGAAAUUAUUGUUGUUUUCUUACCUGUUGCUUGCAAGCUUCAUGAAGGCUGAAACUGAAAAUUUAUUUGCUGUCAUACGUAAGAAUCUAAGCUAAGGUUCCUUUGUGUUAAUUUUAAUAAUUCUCCGCCUAUUACAUCCAUUCUUGUAAUUACCUUAGUUAUCUUGUCCUCUUCAUAAGAUACCCCCUUUAAGUCUGAAAAUGUCUAAAGAUGGUCAUAGUCACCCUGAUGUUAUGUCAGAAGUACAAGAUGCAGGGGAUUUGGAAGAGGAAAAAAGUGUAGUGUCUGAGAAAUCUGAGACAAAAGCAAGAAAAUCCUCUCGUGAAAGGCGAUUAACGCCAAAAAUGCAGGAACUGAAAGAUCAAGAGUUAACUCAAAAGGAGAAGAGGUUCAAAGCAACAUACGAGAAAUGGAAAAGCAACGUAAGAGACAUUCGCACAAAGUUAAAGCAAGUAUGCUCUGAGAGUGACAUGUAUGAUAUGAUGGAUGAGGCUGAGAAGCUUGAGUCUGAAUUAAAGGAACAGUAUGACAGAAUUCGACUCCAAACCUCACCAAGUCAAGAAUUUCGAAGAAAGAUCGAUGCAUGCUCAGCCGUGACGGCCGACUUGCUGCAGCUGAUGAGAGUACGUCUGACUGAAGAUGAAGGUGAGUUUGACACGGUGGCGGAAAGAUCAAGGUUACGCAUGCUACUUGAUAAUGAAUAUGCUAGGUCCAUAUAUGGAUCCACAGCCUCCAGAGUUACUGCACCCAGCUGUCACAAUUCUAACCAUCUCUCAGAGUCACCUAGCAUUCCAGCUAUGAGAGCGGAAGUGGCUGCUCAGCUGGCUGCAAAGAAAGCCGAAAUUGAUAUGGAAGCUGCCAUCGAAGCUCAACGUCAGCAGUUGAGAA
ensembl:lncRNA